UCGCGAAAACUUUACAAUGCUGGCAACAGCGAUAAGGGAACCUCGAGUGCCAGGUUACAAAUCUGGCUGUCGAGAUGCCUAAAAAGCAUUUCAUAGCAAGGGCCGGGCAAGACCGGUGCCAGCCGCCGCGGUAACACCGGCGGCUCGAGUGGUAACCGUUAUUAUUGGGUCUAAAGGGUCUGUAGCCGGCCGGAUAAGUCUCUUGAGAAAUCUGGCAGCUUAACUGUCAGGCUUUCAGGAGAUACUGUCUGGCUCGAGGCCGGGAGAGGUGAGAGGUACUUCGAGGGGUAGGGGUGAAAUCUUGUAAUCCUUGAAGGACCACCAGUGGCGAAGGCGUCUCGACCAGAACGGACCUGACGGCAAGGGACAAAGGCUAGGGGCACGAACCGGAUUACGAUAC
rnacentral:rRNA from 1 species